GGCACAGCGCCGGAUGAACGGAUAACUCUGAUGACGUUAAUUAAGGAAAUUCUCCCUGUGCCU
rnacentral:tRNA from 1 species